ACACCCGAGGCCUCCCGGGUCUCAUCCACGCCUCUGGGUCCAUCACUAAACAGAAGGCACAAUCCCACUAACUCUUACUCCAUCGCUGCUCAUGAAACUCCUGCCAGUAAGGACUGGGUCAAGCACCUGAAAACCAGAGCUCGUCCGUGGCUUCACUUGUUUUGGACUAAGGAGCUGAGGAGCGUGCAAGACUGUACUUGGAGAAUCUGUUUCUUGCUGCCAUUUCGUCACUGAACACUAUUUUUUUUCUCCUUCUUUUUUUGUAAGAAAAGGAGAACACAUAAAACCCCACCAGAACAAACUCCACUCGGCCCUGAAAGUAUUUACAAUCACGGCCCUGAAAGUACUGAAAGUAUUUACAAUCACGUUACAGUUCAUUCACUGCUGCAGAACCUCUCUCCAGCGAUCAAGGUCGAAGGGAGCCGACGUCGCCCUCUAUCGGCUCCCUGCUGCACUAGAAGAUAUUGACUGAGAAUCCUCCAUGUGCCAAGUACUGUUCAAAAACACUGGGAACCCAGCAGGGAUGAGCCACAAGUUUCCUUGUCUUUACGAAGCUUUCAUUCUGAGGGAGUGG
rnacentral:lncRNA from 1 species